GAUGAACGCUGGCGGCGUGCCUAAUACAUGCAAGUCGAGCGAACAGAUAAGGAGCUUGCUCCUUUGACGUUAGCGGCGGACGGGUGAGUAACACGUGGGUAACCUACCUAUAAGACUGGAAUAACUCCGGGAAACCGGGGCUAAUGCCGGAUAACAUUUAGAACCGCAUGGUUCUAAAGUGAAAGAUGGUUUUGCUAUCACUUAUAGAUGGACCCGCGCCGUAUUAGCUAGUUGGUAAGGUAACGGCUUACCAAGGCAACGAUACGUAGCCGACCUGAGAGGGUGAUCGGCCACACUGGAACUGAGACACGGUACAGACUCCUACGGGAGGCAGCAGUAGGGACUCUUACGCAAUGGGGGAAAGCCUGACGGAGCACAGCCGCGUGAGUGAUGACGGUCUUCGGAUCGUAAAACUCUGUUAUUCGGGAAGAACAAAUGUGUAAGUAACUGUGCACGUCUUGACGGUACCUAAUCAGAAAGCCACGGCUAACUACGUG
rnacentral:rRNA from 1 species